rnacentral:rRNA from 1 species
AACGAACGCUGGCGGCAUGCCUAACACAUGCAAGUCGAACGAGACCUUCGAGUCUAGUGGCGCACGGGUGCGUAACGCGUGGGAACCUGCCCUUAGGUUCGGAAUAACUCCCCGAAAGGGGUGCUAAUACCGGAUAAUGUCUUCGGACCAAAGAUUUAUCGCCUUUGGAUGGGCCCGCGUUGGAUUAGCUAGUUGGUAGGGUAAAAGCCUACCAAGGCGACGAUCCAUAGCUGGUCUGAGAGGAUGAUCAGCCACACUGGGACUGAGACACGGCCCAGACUCCUACGGGAGGCAGCAGUGGGGAAUAUUGGACAAGGGGCGAAAGCCUGAUCCAGCAAUGCCGCGUGAGUGAUGAAGGCCUUAGGGUUGUAAAGCUCUUUUACCCGGGAUGAUAAUGACAGUACCGGGAGAAUAAGCUCCGGCUAACUCCGUG